GCUGGGCGUGGUGGUGCAUGCCUGUAAUCCCAGCUACUCAGGAGGCUGAGGCAGGAGAAUUGCCUGAACCCAGGAGGCGGAGGUUGUGGUGAGCCGAGAUCAUGCCAUUACACUCCAGCCUGGGUAAAAAGAGCAAAACUCCGUCUCAAAAAAAAAAAGAGAAGAAAACUGAAACCCAAAAAUCUAAAUACUAUUGGUCUCAUCAAAUUUUUUUUUUUUUUUGAGAUGGAGUCUUGCUCUAUUGCCCAGGCUGGAGUGCAGUGGCGUGAUCUCAGCUCAGUGCAGCCUCCGCCUCCCGGGUUCAAGUGAGUCUCUGCAUCAG
rnacentral:SRP_RNA from 1 species